UACGGGGGGGGCAAGCGUUGUUCGGAAUUACUGGGCGUAAAGGGCGCGUAGGCGGUCCGCUAAGUUAGAUGUGAAAACUCUGGGCUCAACCCAGAGCCUGCAUCUAAUACUGACGGGCUAGAGUUCUGGAGGGGGUAGCGGAAUUCCUGGUGUAGCGGUGAAAUGCGUAGAUAUCAGGAAGAACACCCGUGGCGAAGGCGGCUCUCUGGGACGGUACUGACGCUGAGACGCGAAAGCGUGGGGAGCGAACAGG
rnacentral:rRNA from 1 species